rnacentral:snRNA from 1 species
AUGGUUCAGCAAAAAAUAUACUGAAAUUGGAAUAAUAAAAAGAAAAUUAGUAUGGCCCCUGUGCAAGGAUAACACUCAAAUUCAUGAAGCAUUCUGGGUUUUU